UAGAUUUAAAACGGCCUCUAAGAUAAUUGUAUUAACUUUAUAGUUAUUAUCGAUGAGUUUAUAAUAGAACGG